GUACUUUGCAAUUUACCAGAGACCAGUAAAAUUUAUGCCAAAGGUAGCAUUAAUUGUGAGAUUUGACUUAUAAUUUGAACCCAGAAUUGGUCAUACGGUACAGAGUAACUAGAUAAGAGUUGCUGAUUGUAAUUAUGGACCUGCGAAAUAAAAGCAUGUCCUUUUAGCAUGAUAUUAGCAAGGGAUCAUGCAUAUGUUUUAGACUCAAUGUUUUACCGAACACAUUAAGUCAUGUGCUCAGAAAUGAACAUUUGCAAUUGAGUUGAAUACAGAUAUAUGGUAUUUCUCUAAUAAUUACUUUUUAUGAGUUGAGGCAUUGAUGUUAAAUUGAAUUUGCUAUAUUUUGAGAAAAAUUUCAAGCAUACUUCUUCAAAGAAAUCUGGUGAUUGUUGCAUCAAUUUCCCUUUUCUCUUUAAGUGUGCACUUGAGACCUUUGUGAAAAUAUUUCUAAUCCAUGUAUCAAAUUAUUUAUUUGACCAGAUUAAUUGAUUCUGUUCUUAGUUUGGUG
rnacentral:misc_RNA from 1 species